rnacentral:rRNA from 1 species
CGGGGGGGGCAAGCGUUGUUCGGAAUUACUGGGCGUAAAGGGCUCGUAGGCGGCCAACUAAGUCAGACGUGAAAUCCCUAGGCUCAACCUAGGAACUGCGUCUGAUACUGGAUGGCUUGAAUCCGGGAGAGGGAUGCAGAAUUCCAGGUGUAGCGGUGAAAUGCGUAGAUAUCUGGAGGAAUACCGGUGGCGAAGGCGGCAUCCUGGACCGGCAUUGACGCUGAGGAGCGAAAGCUAGGGGAGCAAACGGGAUUAGAUACCCCGGUAGUCCUAGCCCUAAACGAUGAAUGCUUGGUGUAACGGGUAUCGAUCCCUGUUGUGCCGAAGCUAACGCAUUAAGCAUUCCGCCUGGGGAGUACGGUCGCGAGGCUG